GGGGGGCGGUGGGAGCCGGGGCCGCCGGGCAGGGGGACGCGAGUGGGGCUUCGGCAAGGGGCUUCAGGCUUUUGCUGUGUCGGUGCGGAGGGAGUGGCUGGGCUGAAUCCUGGGCUGGUUUCCGCUUCUUUGCUUGAGGUGGCUGUAGGGCCCGGCCGGCUGCGCGGGGUGGUGGGAUGGCGGCCCUGUGGGGAUGAGGCGGGGCCCCGCCUGCCCCCCCAGCCCUGCCCGCACCUCGGGCUGGGUGAAGGCGCUAGUAUAGCGCGCUAGUAAGUGCUCAGAGAGAGUUCGUGUCUUGUGGUGGGGUCAACUUAAUAGAACUUGGUUUCUGAAGUGGUGAAUUUCUCCUAAAAGGAGCGUAGAGUAGCUUUGAGGUGUGAGUCCAGCCCCACCGCUUUGUGCUCGGUGUGAGAUCUUGACUUAAUCUGGUAAGGAGGACCUGCAGGGGGGCCUAAAACUGUCUUUGGCACCAGUGGAAGUAGUUAUUAAGUGUUGGUCCGUGUUGGCCGUGGUUCUGAGCUCUUAGUGGUGAGGGCAUGACAGAUGAGAUGCAAUCAGGAGGCUGGGGAGCUAGUGGGACAAUGGCUUACACAGCAAAAUCCAAGCAAGUGUGGAAAUGUAUUGUUGAGUUUAGCAAAAGAAGCAGGGGAAUCACUGAUGUUGCUGAUAACUUGGAUAGUUCUUUUAGCCAGAGUACAGAAAAUAGCAAGUUCACCAUGAUGUUGACUCACCAGAACAUUGAAAGAUACAGAAGGUAUUUUUUGGUUUUAUAGUUUGCGAGUUUUCUGCUCAUUUUUGUCAGGGCAUACAGUUGAUUCCGGUGCAUCAGGCCUCAUCUCUUCACAUAAAGUGUGACGUAAGCCUUUGUCACAAGGAAAAUUCUCUCUUCCCUGAGCAGAGGCAUAAAUCGUUUGCUUAGUGAAUCAUGUAACUACAGACUAUGUCAAUGGCUGUAUAGUAAGUUAAUGUAGUUGUAGUACAGAUUAGUUUUAGAGUUGGUUGGUUUGUUUUAAAUGUAAAUGAGAAAUAAGGAGUUAGUACAUUUACUAAGCCAUUCUUCAGGUUGCUGGUGAUGUUCUCCCUGCCUUAACAGAAAGAUGUAAAGGCUACAGAAUUAAGGAUGUGACAGGCUGGCUUUUAGAGUGGCUUCAUGUGCUAGGAUGCCUUGCAUGACAGCACACUCAAGAAGAACCUCAUCAUGACCAUGUUGACCCCUCGGACACUGUCUUUGGAGCCUUCCUGGUGAACUCUGCCUGUUCAUGCAGAUCAAGAAGAUACUGGACCUUGCAAUGCGCAGAUUGUUACCUUUAUGGAAUUGAGAAUAGGGAUAUAAACGUAGGUAAAAUAAUAAAAAAGUUGAGAAGAGGAAUGAGCAAAGACCUGCUUGCGAGCCUUCACCUUGAAGGCUUGGGCACGCACGUCAGAGGAGUGAAAGGAAUCCCACGGAGAAGGCAGGCAUGGCAAGAGGCUCCCUUGAACCCCUGGGUAUUCAGCACAUGAAUCCCUGAAAAGGCCAGGAUUUCUGCAGGAGAAUACUUUCUUCAGUUACUUUUCGCAGCAAGUAAAGGAGUUGAAGAACAUGGAAAUGCUUGGUAGAAGACACGUGGCUAUGGUGCCAGGUACAGAAAGCAAUCUGGUUGGGUUGGACUGUGCUUACUUACUAUGUGCGGACAUUAAAUAUUCAGUUUAAAUCCACUGAAAAGAGAUAUAAAAGCUUUCCAGAUUUCCCAACUUUCAAAAAUUCCCAUCUCUCCUUAAGGAUGUUCUAAAGCACACUUUCAAUGAAUAGCCCUGAGUGAUUUUUUGUCACAUCAAGAUUCUCAUAGAAAAAUGAAUUAGUAGAAACUUUGGACAAACUUUUCAUUGCAUCUUGCUUCCUAUUGUUGUAGUAUAGCUACUGGACACCAAACCGUGGAGCUACCAGAUGCUGUGUAACCUGUUAAGGAGAGGUGCGCUGAUUCCCGUGGUUCCACAAGUUCCUCAAAAAGACGUCUGGAGAGGCUUUCCGUCACUGGCACGAACGGAGGCAGGCUGCCUAAGGUCUUUCUCAUGGCUAGAGAAAUGAUGCAGAGAUUUUCCCAUGCAGCAAUUCGCGGUGGGGGCAGAGAGUGAGAGUUUCCUGGGAAGAAGCUGCCAGCCUGGCUCCGGAGCUUGGGUCCACUGCAAGCGGCAGGUGAGGAGCGAUCCCUCGCUCCCAGCGGUGCCGUGCGGUGGCACAUCCGCGUCCCUCGGAACGUGCCCAGGCGCGGGGGACGACUGGGAGGAAACACCUGCUCGUCCCUUCGAGCUCUGUUUCAUGCCAAGCCACGGGGAGCUGUCGGUGGCUUUGCAAUGCAUUCGGUCAAUGCUGCGUACUCACAAAUAUUGCUGCUGUCUGUGCUGGGUUUAAUUUGGGGGGGAUUGAAAGAAAGUACCUUGGGAAGGAUUGUACGAGGAGAAGACACAUAAACCUUUCUUCCUGACUCAACUUUGUUAUUUUCGCAAAUGUGGAACACAUUUGGUCUGGCAUCCCGUUUGAUUUGUUUACUGCUUUUGUGUCCCACAUUUGGAGAGGCUUUCCAAAGAUAGAUAUUUCUCUCAUCUGGCCUGGCUCUGUCUUCUGCACAGAAACCCCGGUAUAGGUGGGUGGAGUACACGUCCAGGGUGUUUGGGUGGGCCGUGAAGGGGAACACAGUGAACUUUUGGAAUAACCUGGGCUGUAGUUUCAGGCUUGCCAGUGGUUCAAGUGUAGAAAUUACAGGAUUUGUUUGGGAAAUUAUGUUAGACAAUAUCGGCUAUCGGCCCUUACCUUGGUUGCAUGCAGCUUGCUCUUUACGUGAUCUGCCCCUGGAUGUGGAAUAUUACAGCGCUGUUAUGAAUUAUUCUGUCUGUGUGCUUUGGAAAGUAUGCAAUAUGGCUCAUUUUCAAACAUCACUUCUGUUAUAAAAAUCAGUGGCUCCUACAGUGACCUGAAACUAGUCAGGUAGGAUUUAAAAGAGCAAAGAAUUUCACAAAUGGCUGAUUUGUUACUUCAUUGUGGCAUGUGUAAAUAGUUCUGUGUUUCAAAAAAAUAUUCCCCCCUUGCAUUCUAGAUAAGACUAUUACUAGUUUUUCAUGCAACUGUAAUUCCCAGUUUAGGUGGGAUGUAUUUCAGUCAAAUCAACCUGAAAAGAGGAACAAACCCAUCCUCUCAGCCCAGCUUUUUUCCAGCCAGAGCCCCCUCCCUGGAGUCUUCCUUCUAACCUCCAUCUCAGCUGGCCUUGCCCUUUUCAAAUGCGCUGAGGAAUUAAGCAAGUACUAGCUUCCCUGCCCUCACCACCUGGUAUAUCUGCCAAAAGGGUUGGGAGAUAUAAAAAGGGUGAUUUUUUUCUGCAUAUGCUCUGAGGCUCAGUGUAUAGACCCUGUCAUACCGUAGUCUUUCAGAAAUGCAUUGACUUCACUUGAACACCUCUGUAAUGGCCUAGAAGAAGACACUUUUCCCCAGGAGCUGUUGCCUAGCAUGCAUCAUUCUUGGCAGUAUCUGCAAAUAAACUUAUUGUAAUUGAUUUAAUAAUUUUCAAAUAAAAAAAUUAUGAUAGCUGCGGACAGCUAUAAAUAACAGAAAUGAAACACAUUAUUUGUACUGCGCCUUCACAUGCACUUGUUUAGCUCUUUUUGCUGUUAAGUUAAAACAUCUGUUUCUAUGGAAGUGGAGCAUUCCAUGCAACAAACACAGCACUGGAAGUGACCCACAUAUUAAAUGACAACAUUUGACAAAUUCUAGCAGUUGAUUACUGGGGAGGAGUAGACUGUGGUUAUAAUCAGAGUAAACCAAAAAAAUGUGUACCUUUAUAAACCUAGAGUUUAAAUAAAACAUCUGUACUAAAUCAUGUUUGUAGAACAGCACUGUAGCCAACUACCAGACCAUAUGAUAAUGGGGUGUUUUUAACAAUCCCUAUUUCCAUCGCCAUCUUCCAAAUCAGAUCCAGACAGUGCCCACUGGCAUGAAUUCUGCUGGAAACCAAUUGGGAUAGUGUCAGGCUGCAGUGGAUGCUGUCAGUUUAGAUACAGAUACCCAUAAACUGCUAGUGAUUCCAAUACCUCAUGGAGAUUAUAAGCACAGGUAGAAAUUCAGGUGUAUAUUAGGGUGCUUCAUAGGCUACAGUCUUUUCCAGGCAUAUUUUAACUGAGGCUUACACCCUGGAAAAGGUGGAUAUACUGCAGUGACUGUGGAAUCUUAUUCUUAAGGAAAUGUGAGUGUAUAGCAAGAAAAUGGGUAUUAGAAUUGCAGCAGCAGGUCAGCUGGUGAUAGACCGAGAGUGCUGAGACUGGCACCAAACCCAGGUUUGGCAGCUCACUUAAUGCUUUGAGUCUGUGAAACUGGUAUACAAAAGUCAAGUAAGUACAAUUUUCUUUGAGUGCUUCCUGUUGCUGUUAAGUGGAUACAAAGCAAAAGAAAACUAGUUUAGUCCAUCUCUUUAUGUAGAUUCUUAAAGUGAUAUUCACUAGUAGCAUGUGAACAUACAAAUUUUCUUAUUACUGCAGAAUAUCCCCGAAUUAAUUUAAAAAACCAAAUGCCCAAACUUUUUAUUAGCUUUACAUAGUCACUACAAUCUUCCAAAAACUGAAAAAAAUCCAAACCCACCCUGCAACUACACUGUAUAGUUUUAGGUGUCCUGUAAUAAAGUUGCCAUUGUAUUAGGAAAACCUGUUCAGAAUUCCUUGACCAACAUGAGUGAUACUCAAUAAAAAUUGAACUAUCGAAAGAGUGAAAUAUUACUUGAGUGACACUCAAGAAGUAGUAGUUAAUUGACAUAUGGAAAGUUCUCACUCUGAACAAGUAGAUGAGUGCCAUCUGGCAGGAAUAAAAGGACAGGCUACAUUAACAGGGAAUAAAUAAUAUAAGGAGUGGCAGUGUCUAAAUUUACAUUUAUCGGUUAGCAGGACAUACCUAAAAUACUAUAAUAAUCAAAUUAUCUCAUUACUUAGAGCUAACGUGGCAGGGCAUUAUGUCCAUGAGGAGUUAAUGGGAUUCUUAUUUAAGGGACAAGUUUUUAAGAUAACAUGCAAGUUGUACGAUGAGGAGGUAGGGAAAAAUCUGUACAGUAUUCAUUUAAGAUCUAAUUUUGGUGGAUUUUGGUGUUCCAAUACUUUGUUUUAAACAUUUUAUUUAAGUUUGCAAAUAGUGUAUAAGAAGCUUAAAUACUUAGACCACUGCCAUAAUAGAAAUUGUGACUGAAUUCAAGAAUAACAACAGGAAGGUGGACAACCAGUGCAACCAGUGUGCUUAAAUAUACAAGAAAAUCUGAAAUAAAAAGCUGAAUUUCAUUGAGAUAAACACAAAAAGUGCAGGGGGAUGGGGGGAGCAAGGAAUGUUGAAGCUCAAAAAACUUAGAAAUACAAGAUCAUCUUUGGGUUUAUAUUUUAUUAAAAAUUUUUCAUAGAUUUAUAAAUUGUUAUUUUCACAAGGGACUAUUAGAUCAUCUGGCCUGACUUGAUCUUGUAUAAAAGCAAUGUCUAGAGAGUCUUCUGAGGGGGCUUUUCCUCAAUUUAUUUGAUACUGUAUAACUAACAACAUGCAGUGCUAUUACUCAAAAUGAAACGCUUUGUCAUACAGAUCUUUAAUGAAAUAAUUCUCACAAUAUAUUUCUUGAAUACCCAUUUUUAUGAUGGUGUUUAUUUCAAAAUCCAAUGCAAAACUUAAUUCCUAGUAUUUACCUGAGCUUCAGUUCAAGUUGUUUGCUUCUGGUGCCAUAGCAUAUGACAAACAAAACCACUUGAUUGGGACCAUCUAAAUUUUCCUUAU